GGAUGCAAAAUCAAAGAAGGCGAG
rnacentral:siRNA from 1 species